rnacentral:misc_RNA from 1 species
UCUCCGUAGGUGAACCUGCGGAGGGAUCAUUACAGAGUUCUCGCCCCCGCGGGUAGUUCUCCCACCCACUGUUAUCGUUACUGUGUUGCUUUGGCGGGCCGCCGGGCCCCGCUCGGCCGCCGGCUCCGGCUGGCGCGCGCCCGCCAGAGGCCCAGCAAACUCUGAAUGUUAGUGUCGUCUGAGUACUAUAUAAUAGUUAAAACUUUCAACAACGGAUCUCUUGGUUCUG